UACGUAGGGGGCAAGCGUUGUCCGGAAUCAUUGGGCGUAAAGAGCGUGUAGGCGGCCCGGUAAGUCCGCUGUGAAAGUCCAGGGCUCAACCCUGGGAUGCCGGUGGAUACUGUCGGGCUCGAGUCCGAAAGAGGAGUGUGGAAUUCCUGGUGUAGCGGUGAAAUGCGCAGAUAUCAGGAGGAACACCAAUGGCGAAGGCAGCACUCUGGGACGUGACUGACGCUGAGACGCGAAAGCGUGGGGAGCAAACAGG
rnacentral:rRNA from 1 species